rnacentral:snRNA from 1 species
AGUGCAACGCAUGGGCGA